AUUCCACUUCAAGAAGAAAACUAAGAACUUAGCCUGGCCUUCCGAGUUUCAGUUCUAGGUCAAUUAAAAACUGUGGAACUAGGGCUACACAAUGUUAACCAAACCAACCAAGCAUAAUCAAUUCAAUCCAAUCCAAACCAAAAACCAUGUAUUGACACUUACAUGAUUUGGUUUUAAAAUAUAUUCAAUCUGAAUUUUUGGUUUAUCUUUGGCUUCAAGUCAUAAAAAAGUCAUUGAAAUUGAUUCAAACUGAGAAUAUACUAAGAUUACAUUAUUCUGCAUUAUAUGUAAAUAUUUUUGUAUUGUUAAUUCAUUUUUAACCUUUUCACAUGAUGAAAAAAUUUCUACAUGCAUAAAUAAAAUUUCACUUAUUUUGGUCUUUCAUACAUAGAAUUAAUAAAUAUGUUCAUAUUAUUAUAUUUUAAUAUCAUGUUUGAUGCAAUCUGGGAAAUAUAACUUCAGGAAUUAUUUUGAAUUAAUUUUUUAUUGUAAAAUUAAGAAGUUUAGAUUUCUAUUAUUUAGGAAAUUUAGUUAGGAACUAUUAUUUUAUUUUACUUAGGAAGUUUGAGUUUAUUUUGAAUUCCUACUUAGUAUUGGUUUGGUAUUUCCUAAUUAAUAUUGGUUUAGUAUUUUUUAAUUUUGGGGUUCCUAAUCCUAAUAAUAAUAGGACUAGUUGAUAUAAUAUAAUUACCUAUGCCCUCUAGGUAAUUUGGCAGAGUUUAUUAUGGUUAUUGUUGGCAUUGACAAUUAAUACAAAAUUUGAGAAUUUGUUUUCCCCUCUUGUGUGUUCUAUUGAUUCUCCAUCAAUUUGCUAUUAGAGCUACUUUGAUCCGUUUGCCUUUGAAAUGAACAAUAAGGGGGAGAGUUUGUUAUGAUUAUUAUUGACAAUUGAGAGUUAAUAAAAUUUGAAACUAUUUCUUUUUGCCCUUUGAGGGUUCUUUGGUUUUGCAUCAAUGUUAUUUGAAUGUCUUGAAUUUUCUUCGAAGCAAUUUUGCUUUAUAGCAUAAAUUGAUCAAACUGUUUAUGCAAACUAACCGAAUUUGAAUAUCUUUUAGUCUUAUUUGAUUUGAUUAUUUUUUUUAUUAUUUACAAAUAUACUUUAUUGUUUUGGUUUGAAAUAUCUAUCUUAAACCAAAUCAUGAACACCUCAGUUGAACGAUUGACAGGUUUUGGGCUUGGGUUUGACUAGGCUAGUUCCUGUCCAGGUGUAAGACUGAAACGACUCGUGGCCAUCUUUACCAAAGAGGAAAAAACCUUUUGUAUUUUUUUGGUUGACAGCAGUUUUAUAUUUAAUGGUUUUUAAACAACAAAAGAAAACUUAAUAGUAAUGUCAAGUAGAUUCUAAUGUUGUUUUGAAAGGUGAUUGACAUGUUUUAGUCAUAAAAAUUCCAAAACAGAUACACAAUAGUUUCAAAUGACUUUAUGCAACAUCAUCUAAAUGGAUAAAUUUUGACAAAGCAAUUUCAAUCUCAAUGUCUUAUUGUGAUGUAGAACCUUACCAAGAUUCCUCAUUCAUGACUUGCUUAGUCAAUCCAUAAAAGGGAAGUUUUGAUGCAAUUUGCUGUCAUCCCAAGUGCACCUUAGUCCUUAAAACUAACUUUUAGUUGCUUUUAUUCAAAUCAUUCAAUUGGGUGCAUUUCUUAUGAGUGGCCACAAUAGCAAUGCGAUAUAUAUAUUCUUAAUUAUGUUGUUUGAUAAGCUGAUGUGAUGCCUAUUUUUUCAUCCAAUGGUCCAUUCUUUUUUCUUAUUUUUUCAACCUUUUUAUUAAUUAACUUUGAAGAAAUAAUCUUGUUUGGGUAUUUACCUGUUAUGAAUAAGGGAUGGAAGAGCUUGGUGAGUUUAAUUAGAUGGGCUGACUGUAAUGAGCUGGACUGUUAUCUGUUAUUUUGUUAAGUAGUAGGUGUUAGUAUAAGUAGUAGGUGUUAGAGCACUGUUCUCGAGUGGGCUUGCUUCCAAAUCAGUUUGUGGGAGUUGCAACCAUGGGAGGUCAAUGGCAGUCUUCCAAAUUCCAGGGUUCUCCAAAUGAUCUUGCUUAUCGAGAGACUGCAAGAAGGGUUCCGGCAUCAAACAGAUUGCCUUCUUGGAAAUUCUGUCAAGCUGCAUGAAGACCAAGAUGCCUCAAGUGAAGUUUCCAAUAAGAAUGACAAGGGCACUAUUGAGAUGGGGUAGCAUGAUUUUCUUCCUAAUAUGUCUAGUAUAAGUGAGGUUUUUGAGGAGAAGAAUGAUGACGAUGUAGAAGACUGAAACCAUGGAAUUGAAGUUUAUUGGGGUGAUGACAAGGAAUUGAGAAAGAAUGGGGAGAGUGAGGCUAAGGGGAAGGCUAUAUCGCUUGAUAAAAGAUAAUCAUUCAUGGUGGAAAUGAACAGAAUAAGACUCAAAAGGAGGAACAAAAAUUUCAAAUUAUAGAGGUUUUUAUAGAAAAUAAAAAGAUUUCUCAAUGCAUGGAAGACCAUCAUCAGGGUUUGGAUUCAAAAGCUUCCCUUGUCAAUUCAGGGUUUAGAGAAUUGGAGCUUGGGAAUAUUUCGGAAAAUGAACAUGGGAAGAGUGUGAGACUUGUUAAUGGCAACACUUUUAAGAGGGUGUCUUCUGUAAAGAAAGGAAUUGGGUUUUGUUUUGUAAUUAGAAGUGAUACUGAAGGUAGUCUUCUUCUUGUUGGAAUUGUUGAAGAUUUUGAAAACAAUAAUGAUGUCUAUAUUGGGAAUAUUUCAAUUCAAGAAGAUUUGGAAGAGGCAUAUCAUACUCAAAGAGAAUGAAUUUGAAAAAUGGAGGAGACAGAAGAAGAAAAUCCAAUUGAAUGUGGUGGAAAUGCUAAUAAUACUGACACUACUGCCUCUAUUCCAAAAUUUUCUUUUCAAGCUUUGAUGCAGAUGAUUAUAGAUUCUACAAGCAUUUAAGGGUUAGCUUUAUUUAUUUAUUUAUUUUUUCAUUCUUGGGGACAAGAAUGAUUUCAAGGAGUGGGGAAUGUUAUGACUAAGGGAUGGAAGAGUUUGAUGAGUUUAAUUAGAUGGGCUGACUGUAAUGAGCCAGGUUGUUAUCUGUUAUUUUGUUAAGUAGUAGGUGUUAGUAUAAAUAGGAGGGAGUACUUGUAAUUGAGGCAUUUCUAUAAUCAAUAACAAAUGUUGAAUUCUUCUUUCUUU